UCCUUGGUGGUCCAGUGGUUAAGACUCUGCUCUGCCAAUGCAGGGGCCGCGGCUUCGAUCCCUGGUCAGGGAA
rnacentral:tRNA from 1 species